GUGGGGAAUUUUGGACAAUGGGCGCAAGCCUGAUCCAGCAAUGCCGCGUGCAGGAAGAAGGCCUUCGGGUUGUAAACUGCUUUUGUACGGAACGAAACGGUCCGGGUUAAUACCCUGGGCUAAUGACGGUACCGUAAGAAUAAGCACCGGCUAACUACGUGCCAGCAGCCGCGGUAAUACGUAGGGUGCGAGCGUUAAUCGGAAUUACUGGGCGUAAAGCGUGCGCAGGCGGUGCUGUAAGACAGGCGUGAAAUCCCCGGGCUCAACCUGGGAAUUGCGCUUGUGACUGCAGUGCUGGAGUGCGGCAGAGGGGGAUGGAAUUCCGCGUGUAGCAGUGAAAUGCGUAGAUAUGCGGAGGAACACCGAUGGCGAAGGCAAUCCCCUGGGCCUGCACUGACGCUCAUGCACGAAAGCGUGGGGAGCAAACAGGAUUAGAUACCCCUGUAGUCC
rnacentral:rRNA from 1 species